rnacentral:misc_RNA from 1 species
AGGACCAUAUAAUUCUUUUCUACAUGAUCCAUCAAUGAAUCCAAGUUUAUUGCGACCUAUAAUUGCAAUUUUCAUAGCUCGACUCCAUACUGAAAAAUUAUCAGCUCCAGUUAGUUGAAUUGAACUAAGUAAUACGCCUGAAUUAUCUAUUGAAUGUAAGAACAAAGGAUGAUUAUGGCUCAGCUUCUCAGGCAACUCAUUAUCGACAAUUGCCAUGGUUUUGGCUGAGAUCUUGAAGCUCUACUGUGCUGGCUCUGAUACCAUGUUAAUCUUCUUGUAGCUG